rnacentral:tRNA from 1 species
GCCCCCGUGGCGGAAUCGGUAGACGCGGCAGACUCAAAAUCUGUUGCCCGCGAGGGCGUGCUGGUUCAAGUCCGGCCGGGGGCACCA